UGGGGAAUAUUGGACAAUGGGGGCAACCCUGAUCCAGCCAUGCCGCGUGAGUGAUGAAGGCCUUAGGGUUGUAAAGCUCUUUCGCCGGUGAAGAUAAUGACGGUAACCGGUAAAGAAGCCCCGGCUAACUUCGUGCCAGCAGCCGCGGUAAUACGAAGGGGGCUAGCGUUGUUCGGAAUUACUGGGCGUAAAGCGCGCGUAGGCGGGUCAUUAAGUCAGGGGUGAAAUCCCGGGGCUCAACCUCGGAAUUGCCUCUGAUACUGGUGGCCUUGAGUCCGUGAGAGGUGAGUGGAACUCCGAGUGUAGAGGUGAAAUUCGUAGAUAUUGGGAGGAACACCAGUAGCGAAGGCGGCUGGCUGGGCCAUUCCUGACGCUGAGACGCGAAAGCAUGGGGAGCGAACAGGAUUAGAUACCCCCGUAGUCC
rnacentral:rRNA from 1 species